UGGGUAAUAGACAGAUCAUGAUAACAACCUUAAACGUUAAAUCCCUUCAUUGAGUUAACAAGCUGAUGUCUUCCUUCCUGUCUUAACAACUUUUUUAGCAAGCAGUAUAUAUAUCAGGGAAUUAGGUAAUGGAAAAUGGCUGUUUAACAUUUCAGUUUUCACAUAAUUGUUGAUUAAUUCACAAUCCAAACAUUGGACAAUGUAGAACAGACAAGACAAAACAGUAGAGGAACCU
rnacentral:lncRNA from 1 species